rnacentral:lncRNA from 1 species
GAGCGCGUUGUGAGGAGGCGCGUCGUGUGGAGGGCGUCGUGACGGGGACGUCGUGAGGGGCGCGCUGUGAGGCGAGUCUCUGCCCCCUGCCCCUGGAGCUCCCUCCCGCUCCUCAGCUCCCCCCGCAGUCAGGGGCUCUUCCUGUCAGUGCCUCAGGGCCCCUGCAUUCGCCUCCCCCGGGCAGCCCGGUCCUCCUGGGGGAGUCAGCCUCUCUCGCCGGAGCCCGAAGGCCGCCUCCCCUUCUGCCACAGCCCCCUUUGGCUCCCGGCUCUGGACAUCUGCCCUCCAGUGGAUCUGUCUGAAACCGCCCGCCCUUAGCCGGGCAGGAGGCAGCAAGCGCGCGCGCUGCGGGCAGGGGCGGUUUCUGCAGGAGGGACCCUGCCUGAGCUAAACACCGAGAAGACGGCAGGAGGCAGACGGCGAGAUGGGGGAAAGGAAGAUAAUCUGGAAAGUUCCACCGCAGGAAAGACAGUCCCGGUGGCCAGCUGGCCUCUCAGAGGCCCCUUAGUAAGCUGAGGACCCGAACCCUUACGGAAAUGUAACUGAGACAAGCACGAAGCAGAGUGGAACGAAACAGAACAGAGGAGACGCGGGCACAGGAGAGCGCAGAGGCAGCUCUGGGUGCUUAGGAAUGGAGACUGCCGCGGGCCAGCGGGGCUAAGUCCCGGGGUCGCAGAUGCCUGUGUGCGGGGGCAGGUGCUGGCGUGCGGGGCCUGCCCCAGCCCCUGCCUGGCAGAAAGCCCCAGAAUCCAGGGGCCUCUGCCCAGAGGAGGUCUCGUCCUGUGUCAAAGGACCAGGGCGAGGGCGCUGGGCUUCCCUGUGCUUCGCCGAAGGCCCCGGCACUCACACUGCGGGCCUGGCCGUGGAGGGAAGGGCUCGGGGAGUAAGUGCACGCUCCUGGCACUGUCAUGCGUGCAGUGGCCCCGGCACCCGCGAGUGUGUCGGCCAGGCAGUGGGGCGGCAGGGAGCACGUUUGCGGCCCUGGCUUCAACCCACCUGGGCUUCAAUUCCGAGUUCCACCGCUUUGGAGCUCUGUGGCCAUGGAUAAUGGCUCAACCUUCCCGAAUGAUUUGUUUUUUCAUCUGCAACCAUGGAGAAAAUUAUAACAGCCACAUGAAAGGAUUGUUGAGGGGAUGCAGUGAGUUUUUUCAAAGCACUAAGUAAACAUCCUACACAGUUCUCCAGCCCCGGCUAAAUGGGGAAAGCCCCUUGAGGAUGGGGCCGUGUUAGUAGGUUACUCUCAGUCCUCAGCACUUCCGCAUCCGUUAUUUCUCUUAAUGAAUUAAUAUCUGUGAGGCAUGUGUUAUAAAUAAUAUUCCCUAACUGGAUUUAAAAGGAGAGCUUCCUGGGAAUUUCAGGCUCUUUAAGGAGUGUGGCCCUUGUCACCCUGGGGACCAGGGCCACUGCGGCCAGAGGUGUCAGCCAGGGUGAGGACCUCUUCCUUUUCUUUGAGAGCAGGACUAAAUUAACAAGCUGAAGCCAGCUUACCUUGGAUGUGGAUCAUUUUGGCAGUGUUCAACUUUGAGACAAGGAAGUGUGCGACAUUAUUGUCAGCGGAGAGAGGCCCCAGGCAGAAGGUCACUUCCUGAGGUGUCUGGGAAGCACUGCGGCAAGAGACCCCCAUUUCCCAGCAAAUGCUUCCUUACUCAAUCUUUCGGCUACCUGGACUUUACUACCACAUCUACAGAGCCAUCAUUGGCUUCUAAUGAUGAGCCUGAGGCACCGGGGCGCCUUCUGAAUCAUCAGAGCCCGAUGAAAUUGUGUGUUAUUGAGAUGUGCUGUUCCCAUCUUUGCAAAGAGGCCAUGGAUGCAUGCAAUGAAAGCUUUUGCUGAGCCGAAUACGCUGUUAGCACGACCGUCUCCCCACUGACGUAUUGCACCAGACAAACACCAGACGUCAAGGACAUUGGGAAAGCACCAACAUAUUCAGCCAGGCAGUGUGGGGAUGCACCCCCAGUCCCGAGAUGAAAACCUCCAGCCAGCCCAGCGCUUCCCAGCAGGGAGCACAGAACACCAUGAAGCCUCAAGAUGUUGCUUUCCUAAAACAGACCAGCGUGGUUCAUGGAUUUGGGGCUCUAAGUGCCCCCCAUUUCCCUUCUCCUAGACCUCGUCCCCAGCAUCGCGACGCUAUUGGGGCUGGAGCACCCAGCUGGGAGGUUAAACUUUCCUAACCUGGGCUCAACCUUGGUUUCGUCUCUCAGUCUUAAUUUUGCUUCAGCCUGGUCUGUCUUGCUGGUUUAUGCUGUCAUCUAACACAGGGCCAGCAAUGAAGAUGCUUAGUAAAAGCUGUAGAAAGGAUAAAUUUAAAGGUUUUAAUUGUUUUAUUUUACUAUUUUAUUUAUUUUUUUCAUUUCUUGAAUAUAUAACAUGCACUGGCAUGCCCCCCUAUUCCUCCAGCACUUACUUCUACCAUUCAGAGAUGAGCACGCUUACCAGUUUCUUGGCAAUGCAAGUAUUAUAUAAUGCAUUAUCUGCAUAAAUAUAUGUCAUAUAUACACAUACAUAUGUGUAUACACAUAUACAAUAUAUUAUAUGAGUGACAGUAUCCUAAACAUACCUCACAUUGUUUUUGUUUGUUGUUCUUUUUUUUCUUUUUACUUCUUCACAUUAGUUUUUUUAACUUUCUAUAUUGGAAAUUGUUUCAUUUCAGCACAUAUAGCGCAUCCUCACUCUUUGAAAUGGCUUCAUAGCAUUUUAUUGUAUGGCAGUACAAAUAUUUGUUGAACCAUCCCCACUAACAGACAUUAAAUUAUUUCCGUUAUCUUGCUUUGACAAAUACCACUGUGCUCAGUGCACUUGUGCAGGAGUCGUUCUGCACCCUUGGGGUAGAUCCAUAGGCUAAACACCUAGAAUUGCUGGGUUGAAGACGUCAUGCGUAUUAAAUUUUGUUAGCUGUCGUCAAAGAACCUUCCAUGGAAAUUUUACCUGUUUACAGUUCCAGCAGCAAAGAUAAACUGCGUAUUUCCCCCCACCCCCCCGCCCCAACCAUCUUUACAAAUACAGUGUGGGAACAAACUUUAUUUGUACUAUUCCUUGCCAAUCUGAUAAGCAAACAAAAUUGUAUUUCAGUGUUUUAGUUUGCGUUCUUAUUGUAAGGAGUUUGAGCACCAAGGAACUGGUUAUGUAUGUGUGUACAGUUUUCAGGUACUUUUUAAAUUAAGUUACUGUCCUUUUUAAAUAUUGAUUUUUAGGAAUCAAUAUUUAAAACACACAACACAAUUAACUGUUUUGGCCGUUUUCCUUUGAUGUGAAGUACAUGAAUUUUUCCUAAUUUAUUAUCAUUUAAUUUUGUUUCUGGUGAUGUUUGCCAUUCAGGAAUAUCUUAGUUUGAGGGGUGGGGAGUUGAUCAAAUUUCUCAAUCUUUUCUUUUCUGGCUUAAAGAUUUUGUGUCAGAAUUAAAAAGGUCCUUUCUGAAUCAGA